GGAAUGAUUUCAGAUACUCCUGUUGAUGUAUUCUGUUUACAGGACCAUGAUAUUCUUUUUUUGAAUAUGGAGAAUUUACUGAAGAGCAUUUGUUUCUUACUUUUAUGGCUUGUGAUUGGUGCUAUUCUGGAUGAAGGAAAAAUAAUAAUCCAGGUUUAGUUCCUGCCAUUGCCUUCGGGGUUUAGAUUUUGGAGUUAGUUUCCAAAGUUUUGUAUAUAUUCAGGUGGAUAUUUAGCUCAUUUCUGUAUGUAUAAACCGGCAGAUUAUAUGAUUUGACAACUACUUAUACUUGAUUUAAGCAUAUUUGAACUGUAGGAGAUUUUAGUUUAUUGUUAAGUGGUGCAAGGCUGCAGCAUCCCUCCCUCAGUUUUUGAGGGUUUCUUCAUUGAAGAUUUGGUUGUUAACUCCAGUUAAGUGUUUGAUUGGAUUUGACUGACUGGCAGUUGGCAGGUGGGCAGUUGAAAAUAGAAGUGGUGCUAGUGGAAAUGGUGUAAGAUAUGUGAGUUCUUGGAUGGAGUUAUUGCAGAUCUCCGUCACAUUGUUUCAACACUUCAAAAUGUCUAUGAAGAUCAGAUAGAAACAACCUAACACUUGCAUGCUGGAAUUAAAGAAUAACCAUUUCCUCUUUGACAAAAUUUCACUUGGGUCUCCAGCCCAUCUAUGGUGAUGCAAUAGCCACCACAACCCUAACUCCAGUUCACGCUUUCUAAUUCUUCGCUUGAUUUGUUCUGCAACAUUAUUCAGUCAUCAAGAUAUAAACUAUGGCCAUGUACAUGGUUCGAAGCUGCUUCAUGCAUCAAAAUGACCCCAGAAUUCUGAAGGACAAUGGGCAUUUGACGAGAGGCAGACCACUAAUACUUCUUAGGCAAGUAUUCUGUCUCUGUUAUUUGGCUUUCAUGGAUCUAAAACGUCUUUUUUCCUUGAGCUAAUUAUAACGAAUAUUCUAUUGUGUUUAUUUCCUGUUCUCAUAUUGAUGAUUAAUGAUUAGUCUAGAUUUAUGUAUUUCUAGGUAGUGCACUAUAGGUGCAUCAGUUCUCACAUCAGGUACCAAAUGAUCCCUUAAUUUCAUCCUUGCUAAGUUGUAGGCUAUAGGUUAUUAGUUUCACAGUUGAGCAAGUAUAGUUAUUGUUAACUACCAUCUUUUCAACGCCAUCCUUGCUUUAUACAAAUAUCCAUUAAUGUACUUCUCAAGGAAGACAAGAGAUGGUGUUGGACAGGCUUUGUUAUUGUGUAGUUGGAUAAUAGGAGGUUCAGAUGAUUGUCUUUUGAUGCUUCCUAAAACUACAAGGACUAGGAAGAGUAUGUAUUAAUGAUUGAUCAGAAC
rnacentral:misc_RNA from 1 species